rnacentral:lncRNA from 1 species
CUGCACCAAGAUCUCCCCACAGGAAGAGUGUGGCACCUCAAGUUGCUAGUCCAUACAAGCAGGUGCUCUUAACGCCUGGAUAUCUGCCUUGGCGUGAAGCAGAAGGGCCCACUUAACCAUGAUCUAUGCCCAAGAAAGGUGGAGUUGCUUAGGCAACUGAACCAGGACUGUUGCGGAGGGAAGUAAGUGAAUGUGUCCAAAACACUUGGAAGUUUGCCUGGAAUCCAGUGUGUGCUAUACCAGAGUCCUAGUUAGGCGUGGCCUUGAACAGCCCUGAGAAUGAACAUCUGAGAAGCGUCAAUGUGGGAUGCCCUGAGAUGCAAUUAAGAGGAGGAAGGAAACCAUGGUUCUAUUUUAACAUGCCAGCACCAUGUAAAAGCAAGACCAACCCUCUCCUUUCUCCUGUUCCUCAGACUACUCAAUGUGAAGAUGAUGAGGAUGAAGACCUUUAUAAUGAUCCACUUCCACUUAAUGAAUAAGUAGAAGUUAAAGGAGAAGAAAAUGAGAUCUUUCCAAGCCUUCCUGAAAGAAAAUGAGAAAUACGUCAUUGGCUCUGAAAGCACAAAUGUGAUGAAGCUGAGACCAGGCCUUGCAAGGAAGGCUGAUUGACAGGAUGUGAAGCUGAUGCAGGGCCAUUUGUUGGGGUGAUACUGCAGAGCACCAGCUGGGUCUGUAGAUAGAGGCAAGUAAUGACAGUGCUGCCUCUCACCUCUCCCAUCAUCUUGUGCCUUCCUGUGUGCCUAAAGUCAAGAGGACUUUACUUGUGUUUGGGGCCUUCUCUGAUUAACACAAGGCAGUGGCAGGGAUGGGGGCAGCAGAAAAAGAAAGAAGCAUCUUGUGACCCAGGAAGACAGUGGCCUUGGCAUAUUUGUAUAUAAUUUAGAAAAUCAGGAUCUAUGUACCUUGCUUGACUCAUAGUAGGUAUUCAAUAAACUGUUGUACUUUCUUAGAAAAAAAAAGCCAUGAAUAAAUGCAUCUACUCGAUAUCACCCAUCUGAC